rnacentral:rRNA from 1 species
GUGGGGAAUAUUGGACAAUGGGCGCAAGCCUGAUCCAGCCAUGCCGCGUGAGUGAUGAAGGCCCUAGGGUUGUAAAGCUCUUUCACCGGUGAAGAUAAUGACGGUAACCGGAGAAGAAGCCCCGGCUAACUUCGUGCCAGCAGCCGCGGUAAUACGAAGGGGGCUAGCGUUGUUCGGAAUUACUGGGCGUAAAGCGCACGUAGGCGGGUAUUUAAGUCAGGGGUGAAAUCCCGGAGCUCAACUCCGGAACUGCCUUUGAUACUGGGUACCUAGAGUAUGGAAGAGGUAAGUGCAAUUCCGAGUGUAGAGGUGAAAUUCGUAGAUAUUCGGAGGAACACCAGUGGCGAAGGCGGCUUACUGGUCCAUUACUGAUGCUGAGGUGCGAAAGCGUGGGGAGCAAACAGGAUUAGAAACCCGUGUAGUCC